rnacentral:rRNA from 1 species
CCUACGGGAUGCUGCAGUGGGGAAUAUUGGACAAUGGGCGAAAGCCUGAUCCAGCCAUGCCGCGUGUGUGAAGAAGGCCUUCGGGUUGUAAAGCACUUUCAGUGGGGAAGAAAGCCUUGGGGCUAAUACCCUCGAGGAAGGACAUCACCCACAGAAGAAGCACCGGCUAACCCGUGCCAGCAGCCGCGGUAAUACGGAGGGUGCGAGCGUUAAUCGGAAUUACUGGGCGUAAAGCGCGCGUAGGCGGUCUGAUAAGCCGGUUGUGAAAGCCCCGGGCUCAACCUGGGAACGGCAUCCGGAACUGUCAGGCUAGAGUGCAGGAGAGGAAGGUAGAAUUCCCGGUGUAGCGGUGAAAUGCGUAGAGAUCGGGAGGAAUACCAGUGGCGAAGGCGGCCUUCUGGACUGACACUGACGCUGAGGUGCGAAAGCGUGGGUAGCAAACAGGAUUAGAUACCCCGGUAGUC